GCGGUCUACGUGGGCCGGGUCCUCAGAAGGUCGGGUAGGCCAGAAGUGAGCGGCUGUGAAACUGGACGGUCUAGCCUUCAGAUUUGCAUCACCAGCUGUCUUGGUGGAGUUUAAUAAACUCGGCCGUCUGCUCAUUUCUGUCUAAAAUAUAACAGGAUACUGGCAUAAUUCUCGAUCAUCUCACAUUUCUGAUAAUCAGUUUUCCAUUUGACUUUUAUUCAGCUGUGUGAAAACUUUAAUCUCAGCCAAACCGAUUUACUCACAAACAAAUAAAACACUGAAAAAAGCCAAAUUAACAUUUUUAAUUUCUCUAAGUGACUUAUAUCAUGUUUAACCUGAGUAGCGAAAGACAGCGGGGGGGUUCACUGUUAUUGCCCCGGCUAGCUGUCGAGCUGGUUGCUAACAGACGUCUCCGAAAAUGUCGCAGCACUUCUGAAAAUAUGUGAUGUCUUGAUAAGCCGAGCAGAUAUUUGAAGUUUACACAGCUACAUUCUUGCCUAAAAAUAUCUUAAAAGUUUAUUUUGUGACUCAGAAAGAGUAAUUGGAGUAAUAUUAAAACUUAGUAGCUGCUGACAUUGGCGGAAACUGGAAUUAGCUGGGCCGUGCUAGGAAUUCUGGAAUAUGGUGGGCCACCAAGGACACACCCGACCCAUCCUUCAAAUUGGAGGAAAAGGAGUAUGCAUUUGUCAGAGUCUACGAAUUUGGACUGAAUUGUACAUAAUAAUAUCACGGAUGAUAAAUUAAAUAGAUUUUAAGUAGGUGCUUGUGCAUUCUUAAAGUCUUAUAGGUUGAAUUGAACUUUGUGAUCAGUUCAGAGCCUCCCAGUCAGUGCUGUUCUCCAUGCCUGUCUGACUGUACAUGAUGUUAUUAGCACAAACACUUUAAAGGGGAUCAGUUAGGACUUCAGCAAUAAUACAGACAGCAAUCUAGUUAGCAAUAAAACAGUUUUAUUUGGAAUUAAUUUAAAAAACAAAGAAACAUCUCUGUCCUAUUUUUUUUGUGUCAUACAGGAAAGAAGCAGCAGCAACAGGAGAUGGAUAUCUCUAACAAGUUGAUUUGUUCACAUUUUCACAUCUUAAUUUUUAAGUGAAAUGUGCAUUUUGAGUUUAUACACUAUAUGCAUAUAAGGUGACAGUUUCCUUUUGCAUAAUUUUUGUGUGGUGCGUUUUUUCUAUGUCUUAACAAAAGGGGGAACAAAGGUGCUUAAUUUAACCUAGACCUGACCCUGAAAAAGGCGUAUGAACCCUGUGAGUAAUUGUAAUUUCAUUACAGAAGAUAGGUCCAUUUAGAGUACCCGUAGUAUCAGAUUUGAUCAAAAAAUCGGAAUUGAGCAUUAAGACCUGCAGUGUGAACGUAGCCUUAGAGUAGGUUAGUUGUUUUGUUUGCUCUCAGUUUGACAGCCCUAUUAAAGAUUAAUAUCAGUUUGUACAUGCUUCAGAUAGCUUUUCUUCAAAUUCUUUAAUUCUCGCUUUUGCAACUUUUUGCUUUUGCGUUACUCACAACAGCAACUCCACCUCAUUGUUUGUCCAUUUAAAAAAACUUGGUGGUUUUCCUCAACCGUUUGCCGCAACGUUUCAGAGAGCCGGAAAGUAAAUAAACAGCAGAUAGAAAUGAGGCAGGUCGAAUCUUCUUGCGUUUCACGCAUGCGCAGUACUGGAACGUAAGAGUUUUCGUCUGUUUCAAUGUUGACGCACAAAUCUGUCAAAACAACUGAAAAUGCUAGUGUGGAUGUGGAGCGUUUUCAGAUGAAAACAGUUUUCAAAUCUGUCCGGGCUAGUGUGGAUGUAGCUUUAGAGGGGCAAUGACAGACGAGGUCUCAAUAUUUAAUCUGUUUCUGAGAAGCAAUUAGAGAAAACUUUAAAGAGCUCAUGUGAGAUGGGUGGCUUCUAAAAAUAAAUGACAGGCCUUCUUUUUGUCUUAUAUUUCAUUCUGUUUAUUCAUCCUUCUGUGGGUCAAUAAUUUCGAAUUUGUCCUUUUUUUCUUUUUUUUUAACACUUGAUAAGGUGCCUGUUUAAAUGAAUUCACUCAUCUCCCUUCAUGGACUACACUUGAAUAACAUUGCACUCUACCUUAUCUAACCAGCAUAUUAAGAGGCUGAGACACCCUGUGUUCAAAGGGCAGGUUCUUCCUCUGCUUCUCGUGCUUCAGCUCCGCACACCUGGGUUCAUUAACUCACAUACUGGAAAUUGGGACCCACUGAGAGAGAGAAUUCCUGUGGACCUGCCUGAACUGAAGCUUUGGAUUCACUAACUGGAAAUCCUUCUGUUGUCACAUUCUGUUGUUACUUCACUGUAAAUAAACGCACUGAACUUAAUCCUGC
ensembl:lncRNA